rnacentral:rRNA from 1 species
AGAUUGAACGCUGGCGGCGUGCCUAACACAUGCAAGUCGAGCGGUAACAGGUGUAGCAAUACAUGCUGACGAGCGGCGAACGGGUGAGUAAUGACUUUCGGAAUCUACCCACGGGUUGGGGAAUAACCAACCGAAAGGUUGGCUAAUACCGCAUAUGGCCCUACGGGGUAAAGCGGGGGAUCGUAAGACCUCGCGCUGGUGGAUGAGCCUACGUCCGAUUAGUUAGUUGGUGGGGUAAA